rnacentral:rRNA from 1 species
GUUAAAAAGCUCGUAGUUGGAUUUCUGGCGGGGACCCAAGUACCCCUGGUGGGUGCGCCCGGGCCCGGCCAUCCUUCUGUAAACUUUCGCGCGUCCUUCACCGGUCGGCAAAGGGAUCAGAUAAUUUACCUUGAGAAAAUUAGAGUGUUUCAGGCAGGCUUAGCCGGAAUACAUUAGCAUGGAAUAAUGGAAUAGGACUGAGGUCUCGUUGUUGGUUACGCGGACUACAGUAAUGAUUAAUAGGGACAGUUGGGGGCAUUAGUAUUUAUUAGCUAGAGGUGGAAUUCUCUAAUUUGAUAAAGACUAACUUAU